GACGAACGCUGGCGGCGUGCUUAACACAUGCAAGUCGAGCGGUAAGGCCCUUUCGGGGGUACACGAGCGGCGAACGGGUGAGUAACACGUGGGUGACCUGCCCUCAGCUCUGGGAUAAGCCUGGGAAACCGGGUCUAAUACUGGAUAUGACUCCAUGACGCAUGUUGUGGGGUGGAAAGCCUUGUGCGGCUGAGGAUGGGCCCGCGGCCUAUCAGCUUGUUGGGGUGAUGGCCUACCAAGGCGACGACGGGUAGCCGGCCUGAGAGGGCGACCGGCCACACUGGGACUGAGACACGGGCCCAGACUCCUACGGGAGGCAGCAGUGGGGAAUCUUGCGCAAUGGGCGAAAGCCUGAACGCAGCGACGCCGCGUGAGGGAUGACGGCU
rnacentral:rRNA from 1 species